AACGAACGCUGGCGGCAGGCUUAACACAUGCAAGUCGAACGCGUGUAGCAAUACACGAGUGGCGCAUGGGUGAGUAACGCGUGGAUAUCUGCCUUUUGGUUCGAAAUAACCCCGGGAAACUGGGGCUAAUACCGGAUGGUUCCUUCGGGAUAAAGAUUUAUCGCCAAAAGAUGAGUCCGCGUACGAUUAGCUAGUUGGUGAGGUAAUGGCUCACCAAGGCGACGAUCGUUAGCUGGUCUGAGAGGACGAUCAGCCACACUGGGACUGAGACACGGCCCAGACUCCUACGGGAGGCAGCAGUGGGGAAUAUUGGACAAUGGGGGCAACCCUGAUCCAGCCAUGCCGCGUGAGUGAUGAAGGCCUUCGGGUUGUAAAGCUCUUUUGGCGGGGACGAUGAUGACGGUACCCGCAGAAUAAGCCCCGGCUAACUUCGUGCCAGCAGCCGCGGUAACAC
rnacentral:rRNA from 1 species